rnacentral:rRNA from 1 species
UUGGACAGUCAUAGUGGUGGGGUUCACCCGGUCUCAUUCCGAACCCGGAAGUUAAGCCCACCGACGUUUCCAGCUGUACUAUGGUACGCGAGUCCAUGGGAACCUGGGAUCGCUGUCCACC